rnacentral:lncRNA from 1 species
CUGUAUUUUACAGAGAUGCCCUCUUUAUGUAUGGUAAUACCUCGUACUUGUCCCAGUCUUAGGUACGAGUAAGGGGUGUUAUAGGUUUGCUUCUGAUUUAGGUAAACUGAUAUAUAAUUGAAAGUGACCAUUAGGUGAUUUGUGAAUGUAAAAUUUGGCUUGAAUGGAAUGGCUUAUUUUGAUAUUUGUGUGUCUUGUAGUUGAUAGUAUGGAAUUAGCAUGAAUUAGGCUUGGUUGAGGUUGG